CCAGAAUGUAUUCAUUAAUUAUGUUUUCCUUGAUAAAAUAGGCGUGCAAGAAUAAACGUUCAAGAAUAGCCAAGAUUUGGACAGUUCAAUAUUUUCUUGUUGUUUUCAAUGGCUUCCAGUGCAAUGCAUCAUAGGUAGGGCAUAUCCACUCUCUUCCAAAGGCGGAUGUAAUGUUGUCGUAAACAAAGUGGCGCCCCUCUCCGCAACUCGCAGACGCACACUUGUCCAGCGGAUUCCACGAAUACGCGGAAGAACAUAAGAGGAAAGGCACACCAUCUGUUGAAGAAAAGCAAAUGUUACUUAUCAUCCACAGUCUACAAGAGACAAAUGUUUUGUUAUCGAACCCGACGAAGGCCAAUGUGCGAUGUGUCGGAGGGCUCGCGUCCCUCUACAAAGGCCCCUCAUUUCGAAACUCCAGCUUCAAGCAUGUCUAUGAUUUGGCCUUAACCAGAGGUGACUUUGCAUUUAGGGUAUAUAGUGUUCGAUAGAAAGUGAAAAGGAGUUUGUUAUGAGAACAUGUGCCGAGCAGCACUAAUAAAAACGCGAAUAAAAUCAUGAAUUUGUCCGCUCAUAUUUAUCGUACAAGCCGACCCAGUUCACCUCGUCGUCCUUCGUUAAUGACACGAUACCAAAUUAGGAAAUAAAAGUAUAGAGGCUUAUGUUUAGUGAAUCAGACCCGUCAGAGGAAAAACAUAUCAAGCAGAUCCCAUGAUGCACCAGCAAUCCGACAUUAGCAUACCUAUGUGGACGAAGGAAUCAAUCAGAGUCGCGCGCAUUCGGUUAAGACCGCUGACUCUGCAGAACGCCUUCCACAGUACAUUUACGUCUUCAAAGGAGAGAUGGACAAAUCGCAUGGAGAAGUUUGCAUUCACGCUACCGUUGCUA